AAACCCACGUAUACACAAGGAUGCUCACAGUAUCAACAAAUUCAUUGCUAACCAAAGCCAUUCAUAGUCGCAGAAAAUCUAGCUUCAAACGAAUAAAACAAUGCACAUUUUCAAUUGAAUUCAAAUUGUUAAUCAUUUCAAUCCUUGGAAUGAUUGGUAUUACACAUAUAAACCACAACAACACAAUUCCUAUCUUUAACUUCUUAUGUUUUUCAGGAAGGAUUCUUUAAUUG
rnacentral:misc_RNA from 1 species